rnacentral:lncRNA from 1 species
CUUAAAUCUUCUCAUCCACCCUCAGAGACAUUCUUAUUCAAAAGAAAGAACACCGAAAUUGACCUUACCCUGACAAUAUGAUGGCUGAAGGAUUUAUGAUCACUUAUAACAUUUGAAAUUGAGGCGGAACCUGAAGAAUAAGACUCUGGUGAAAGGUCCUAUUUAUGCUUUUGAUGUCUUUCACUUGGACAUUUACCACAUGCCUAUUGGUAGGUUUGUUACAUAGGUCAGUUAAGGUGAUACAAGAAUAAAUAAAACACUAUCCCUAUCCUUU